rnacentral:rRNA from 1 species
GACGAACGCUGGCGGCGUGCUUAACACAUGCAAGUCGAACGGAAAGGCCCUGCUUUUGUGGGGUGCUCGAGUGGCGAACGGGUGAGUAACACGUGAGUAACCUGCCCUUGACUUUGGGAUAACUUCAGGAAACUGGGGCUAAUACCGGAUAGGAGCUCCUGCUGCAUGGUGGGGGUUGGAAAGUUUCGGCGGUUGGGGAUGGACUCGCGGCUUAUCAGCUUGUUGGUGGGGUAGUGGCUUACCAAGGCUUUGACGGGUAGCCGGCCUGAGAGGGUGACCGGCCACAUUGGGACUGAGAUACGGCCCAGUCUCGUACGGGAGGCAGCAGUGGGGAAUAUUGCACAAUGGGCGGAAGCCUGAUGCAGCAACGCCGCGUGCGGGAUGACGGCCUUCGGGUUGUAAACCGCUUUCGCCUGUGACGAAGCGUGAGUGACGGUAAUGGGUAAAGAAGCACCGGCUAACUACGUG